AAGUGGCAGCAUUGCAGUAUUUGGGAGCCAGGAGAGCAAUGCAGCCCCACCUGCACCACCCACUACUAAAUGCAGCUAUGAAACCAGAUUUCUCAGUAGUAUGGCUGCCAACUGACCACUAGUAGCAACUUGAUGUGCAGAUAAUAGCAUGUGGAGCUUUUCACAGCAUGAAGAUAGACACUAUCACCUACUAUUGCCUCCGCAUCAAGCUGCUGUUAAAGGUGUAGCUAGAGAUUGGUGGAGGAGCUGGCAAGCCUACUGUUAAUACUCAUCUUUUGACUGGGUAUUUCAAACAUUUUAAAGUUUUUAAGUAGGUACAGCUGACGCCUAAAUUAGAUUCAUAGAGUUGGUGGGAGGGUUGUAUGGGUACCACGAAUGCUUUGUGUUUCCUAAGCAGAUUUGGACAGUAGUUGCCUCUCAUGUGAUUAAUGGGGUGGCACGAGAUGUGGAAAUGAGUGCAAUCGAAAGUUACCUUAAUAGGGAAAGAAGGAACUGUGCUUUUGAAUUGUGCUUGCUGUUUCCAACACUGUGAGGUUUCUGUAAUAAUUAGCUUUUAUUUGGAAGCGAUAGCGUAUAGCAUUUUUUAUGCUGUUUCUUUUAUAUCUGUCCACUGCUAGCAGUGCUCCUGCUAUGCUGUACACUGUUUUAAAGUGUCCUGGUUGACAGAAAAUGUGAUAACAAUUGGCAUUCUUAAUAGUUCCAUAUCUUACCAUUACAAAGAAGCCUAGCAGAAUAACCAAUCAGUUAACCUGUCUUCCCGUGUUAAUUUUCCUAGCAUUCAGCUCCUUUGUUGCAUGUGUUAACCCUGAAAAACGUUUAGCACUGAACAGUGCUUCCCUUCUCCCAAGAGCCACUGUGUGUACUUGUAGGAUAUGACCAAAAGCACACCCACAUUUGUUAACCCAUGGAAAUCAUUCAAUUUACUUUAAGGUUUAUGCUCCUAAACAUGCUUGUUAGGAAGCAAGCCCAUUUAACUCAAUGAGACUUAUUUCUGAGUAAACAUGUUUAGGAUCCGGCUAUAAGAUGUAUACACACAGGAAUAAGUUGGGUAUAACAAGUGUUCCCAUUAUCACUAGAGCAAAACUAGUUGUGUGUCUAUAGCUAAAACUAGCUACAAAAAAAUAAAUAAAUUAAGAUGCAUGGAGCAAUUCAGUACAUCAAGAUUUUGAAAAUGAGUCUUUAUUAGGAUAGCUAAGGGUUUUAUUAGCUUGAUGUAAUAUUUCUCGGUCUUAGAAGUCUGUGGAAGUACAAGCAGGCAGUGAUCAGAACUAAAAGGCUUUGAAAUAGGAACUAAUGGUCUUCAUCAAAUUUGGACCACUUGAAUAACUGCCCACUUCCUCUCACUGAAGGCAGAUUUAGACAUUGCCCUUGACAAAAAUGGCAUCCUCAGGUCAAAUAUUCCCCGUCACUACAUUUCGGCACACAACCUAUGGUGUGACAGCACACAGUUUCCUUAGCUCAGCAAUGGGAAAAAACAUACAAUGAUGUCAUGAGGAUGGGUGUGCCUAAAUGUUACUGAGGGGUAUGGGAGAAUACUCCACAAGGGAUUGCUAUUUUCAGUGGCAGAUCCAUAUUAAGUAUAACAAUGUGUUCCCCCUUACAUCUCUGCAACCCUAGUGUUUUAAAACAGAGAACCACCUUCCGUUUUUAUUAAAAUAAAGGCAGAGGAGGACAGAGACCUAUUUAUUCACAUAUUCUUUCAUAAUAUUUUAAAUAUGGAAUUUCAACCAACUAACUUGUUCUUUAAAUUUGUGCAGAAAGGGGAAAAUAUUAAUGAAAUCCUUUUAUAUCAGAAGUUUCCUACAGGCACUGGGGAAAUAACCCUAACUUUACAAAGCAAACAAGUUGAUUUGAAGAGCAUCCUAGCAAACGACUCACUAUUAUACCACAAAAUUGAACUGUGCAGACGCUUAUUUUUAUUUGCUUUUGAACUAUAGGUGAUAUCCAGUGGCAAGUCAUCCUUGGAGCAGUGGGUCUCCUCCUAAGUAUGACAAGCAUUAGAUAUUGCCCUAGGUGUGUGCGUGCACUUCAGGGAAACCCUAACACGCCUAUCAGUUAAACCUUACAAAUAAAAUUGGUGUUAAAUGUGUCCUAUGGACUCACAAGGAGAACUUUAAAAACAUUCAUGUUGUCUCUUUCUGAUUGUAAAGAUCCAUUUUACUAAUAUGCUUUGUGUGCCAGGUAUGUGUGAUAGGAGAAAAUGAGUUUUGAAUGUCAACAAAUUAUCCCCAACACAAACUGCAGCCACAUUUAAACAGUAUUGCUGACUGAAAAUUUGUAUGAAUGGGGUGAAAGUUGUGGGAUUAGUUUUGCCUACCGAUAAAGCUUUGUGAACAAUUUUUUUAAGAUAAAAAAAUUGGUGCCUUGUAUCUAAUUACAUUUUGCAUGGGACACAAGUUUAAUUUUCUCCCCCUCCCAAAUUUGUGUCUUUACAAUACUUUAGUAGUAUUGGCUUUUUUACAUUUCAUAUCUGUAUGUGAAUGGGGAAAAUGGUUCCUACCAGCAACUUGAUGUAUUUACUGUAUGUGUCUAAAGACUGUAUUUCUAAUAAUGCAAUUGAUUUGCUCAAAAGUAGAUCAUAAUUUUGGUUUUUGUGUUAAAUCUUUGUCAGUAAAAAGUUUUUUCAAAUUAGGAUUAUUCCUCUUGAAGCAAGUACUUCAUAAUUAUGGUGUGAAAAGUUAAGAAUGCCUGGAGCAAUCUGUUGACAAAGCAGUUUGGAAAAGGCUAUGAAAUUGCUGACUGGUGCCUUGCAAAGACAUCCGUUCUCUUCUACCAUGGUACUGCUUCUUUCCAUUUCCAGAUCCUGGGAGGACAAACAGUCCUAUCUUUAUACAGAUAGUAUAUGAUAUGUAUGGGUGCUUGAAGCUAAACAUCUAUAUGUAAAGGUGCUUAAUAGAAUCCAACAUCUAGUGAACAUUGUUUCAUGAUAUCAUGCCUAGCAUCUAGUUUAACUAGCAAUAUCCGUUAUCCUUAAAUACAGCACCUCAAGUAAGAUAAAAGCAUAUGGUCACUGCUGCAUUGUCAAGCACAUCUUCAGUCAGCUUAAGUCUGACAGACUUACAGUGCAGAAUGCACUGGAACUAUGUAGAUGGUGUAAGCUUAACCGUGGCUUCCAAAUUCAGUUCAUGUUAGGUGGAUGUCAGAAAAAGAGAACUGCUACAUAUAGAAACAUAGCAAUGAUACAUUGGAUUGCAGAAAAAUAAUGCUUUCUUUUCAUAGAAAAAUUGGCCGUAUACAAGUAGUAUCAACUGAAUUUAAAAUCAGGCUAGGGUUGCCAUGUUUUAAGUGCACUGAUAUAGAGUGGAAGUAGCCUCACCUUCCCCUCUCUCACUCUCUCUCUCUCUCUCUCUCACACACACACACACACAAUCCUUUUAUCUAUCCUCCCACUGCCUAUAUAGUUAGGUGUCCUGUUUGCUACUGCACAAAACAGGUGUGAAAGCCUCAGCUUUCAAUGUACAAUUCUCAUAUUUAGGGUUGCAACCAAGCACCUUUGUGUGUCUUGCAGCUUCUAUUUUCUUUUGACUUCAUUCAAUCCAAAAUAACUAAUACUCCAAACAAAGUCAAUGAAACAAGACUUAGGAAAAAAUUAAUGCUUAGAACUAAACACAGAGCUUGCUAGCUGUUCAGUAUUUAAGGAAAGCACCAUUUUGUAAUCAAACUUGCAAAACUUACGUGAAAAGGCUUUUAGAUCCCAUUGAGAGUUUCUGGUAUCAUAGAUGUGUGAUGUAUGGUGUAUCAUGUCCACUGAGGGGAAGGGACUUGACAACCUUAGCAGCAGAGGGCAUGUGAGCAGGAGAUCAGCACUGUGCAGGCACACAGCACAGAGCUAGCAGUCUCCACCACCCACUGAUAAGGGCACCUGGUCCCAUUCCCCAUUAGUCAGUACUGUCAGCCUCUUAUUUAACUACCAGUAGCAGAGAUGGUCCUGACCAGAAGCAUGUAUAGGCCUCAUGGUUGACUAUAGCAUAUUUGGCAAAGAAAUUUUAUGUUACCGAAUUGCAUAAUUUUAGGCGUUUUUGUUUGGUUCAGGUUUUAAAGGCAAAAGUAGAUUACUAUAACUAAAUCUUGAAUUAAAAGAAACUCUGCUAUGCUUAAGUUCACUUAUACAAAUCUGCACAAUGGGCACUGGUUGCACCUCGAAAUGUAAACCUAAUCACAUGUACACAGAAACAAGUUCCACUGAAGAUGUGUGUGUAAGUCUAGUCUGAAAACAAGAGCAAAUUUCUGCCACUACUUUUAAAAAUUGUCACCACAAAAUGUUUUUAAAACAAGUGUCCUGAAAAUUCUUAGAUGAGAGUUCAGAAUUUUAAAACGCACAAAAUCAGAUCUCUGAAAUAGCACCUUACAGUAGUAUAACCUCUACUUCACAAAGGUUCUUUACAAAGGUACUUAAAUUUGCCACAGCUCCCCAAAGCCAUACACUUCUGAUUACAUUAUAUUAGCA